rnacentral:rRNA from 1 species
AACGGGCAUGCUUUACCAUGCAGUCGAACGGCAGCACGAGAGAGCUUGCUCUCUUGGUGGCGAGUGGCGGACGGGUGAGUAAUAUAUCGGAACGUGCCCAGUAGCGGGGGAUAACUACUCGAAAGAGUGGCUAAUACCGCAUACGCCCUACGGGGGAAAGGGGGGGAUCGCAAGACCUCUCACUAUUGGAGCGGCCGAUAUCGGAUUAGCUAGUUGGUGGGGUAAAGGCUCACCAAGGCAACGAUCCGUAGCUGGUUUGAGAGGACGACCAGCCACACUGGGACUGAGACACGGCCCAGACUCCUACGGGAGGCAGCAGUGGGGAAUUUUGGACAAUGGGGGAAACCCUGAUCCAGCCAUCCCGCGUGUAUGAUGAAGGCCUUCGGGUUGUAAAGUACUUUUGGCAGAGAAGAAAAGGCAUCCCCUAAUACGGGAUGCUGCUGACGGUAUCUGCAGAAUAAGCACCGGCUAACUACGUGCCAGCAGCCGCGGUAAUACGUAGGGUGCAAGCGUUAAUCGGAAUUACUGGGCGUAAAGCGUGUGUAGGCGGUUCGGAAAGAAAGAUGUGAAAUCCCAGGGCUCAACCUUGGAACUGCAUUUUUAACUGCCGAGCUAGAGUAUGUCAGAGGGGGGUAGAAUUCCACGUGUAGCAGUGAAAUGCGUAGAUAUGUGGAGGAAUACCGAUGGCGAAGGCAGCCCCCUGGGAUAAUACUGACGCUCAGACACGAAAGCGUGGGGAGCAAACAGGAUUAGAUACCCUGGUAGUCCACGCCCUAAACGAUGUCAACUAGCUGUUGGGGCCGUUAGGCCUUAGUAGCGCAGCUAACGCGUGAAGUUGACCGCCUGGGGAGUACGGUCGCAAGAUUAAAACUCAAAGGAAUUGACGGGGACCCGCACAAGCGGUGGAUGAUGUGGAUUAAUUCGAUGCAACGCGAAAAACCUUACCUACCCUUGACAUGUCUGGAAUGCCGAAGAGAUUUGGCAGUGCUCGCAAGAGAAC